UCCCUGGUGACUUAGACGGUAAAGUGUCUGCCUACAAUGCGGGAGACCCGGGUCCAAUCCCUGGGUCGGGAA
rnacentral:tRNA from 1 species